rnacentral:misc_RNA from 1 species
UACAGAGGUGGCAAGCGUUGUUCGGAUUUAUUGGGCGUAAAGGGUCCGUAGGCGGUCCGGAAAGUUGGAUGUGAAAUCCCACAGCUCAACUGUGGAACUGCAUUCAAAACUCCCGGACUAGAGUAUGAGAGGGGUUAAGGGAAUUCCCGGUGUAAGGGUGAAAUCUGCAGAGAUCGGGAGGAACACCAGUCGCGAAGGCGCUUAACUGGCUCAUUACUGACGCUCAGGGACGAAAGCUAGGGUAGCAAACGGG